AUGACUGCCACCAGUUUGAUCUGGACUUUUGCUGACAUCUACAGUGAUAUCCACUGUAAGACUGUCUCACUGUCCAGACGGUACCAUCCUGCUUUCCUGGAUUUUUCCUCUACAAAUCAGUCCUGUAAAACAUCAAGGUGGCCUAAUUAUUUUCUAUGCUUUGAAGAAAAGUGUUCUGUUUGUGCUCUUCUAUUCAGCCCCUGCAAUGCCUCCAGCCUGUACCACGUUGCUCCUUGUGAAGACAGCUGGCCUAACUCCAGCUGGGUGCUGUGGGUCCAGAUAUGUCACCGCCUGGGAAGCUCUUGUCAAAUGACACAGCUGAUGAGGACUUCAAACUCACCAUGCAGUGCUGUCCCAAAGAACAGAACACAAGAGCUCCUCCAAAGUCUUCUCCAGCAUCAUACCUGGGUUGCCUUGUCUCUGCCAGCAGCACACGUGCUGUCUCUCCUGGAGCACCUGAAAAUAGUGACAGCAUCUCCUUGCUGGGGGACGUCAUGGUGA
rnacentral:lncRNA from 1 species